rnacentral:rRNA from 1 species
ACUGGGCUAAAAAAGGUAAUACUAACUAGGAAACCUAUACUUUUUGGCGGCCUUUUUUCUUAUUGAAGGAACUUGUCCAGUAAUCGAAACUACCCGCUCAUUCUCUCUUUUAUUUAGUUUUUAUACCGUCGUCUUAAGAAUAUACUAAAACUUAUUAUCCUACUCUGAACAUUCAGGUAAGUCAGAUCAAGGUGAAGCUUAUAUAAAAGGUAAGGGUGAGUUAUGCAUAAGAACAACUAUAGGCUUUUGCUUGAAAAAGACAUCUAAAUUAAGAUUCAACAUUACCUUAUUUCUAAAAAAUCUUAGGGAAGAAGUAAAAUAAGGUGU